rnacentral:lncRNA from 1 species
CCUUGGGCUUUCAUAGGGAACUAUUUCGUUGCCUGAAAAAAUGUGCAUUCCUUAUUAGAAUGUUUUUCUGUAUUUUUUAAGGUGAAGGCUAGCACUAACCAUUUUGUACUAAUGACUCUAACUGUUUUUCACUACCUGCUCACCUCAACAUUGUAUUCAGUUGGCACUAUACCCCCCUCCCACACACACACACACACAAAAGAAAAACAAAAUCAGCACACCCCACCCAUCCAAAAGAAAAAAGAAACACACACACAAUAGGUUGUGAUGAUGGAUUUAUUUAUACUUAUAGCAUAUUAAGUGCAGCCCCUUAUAGCAUCUAAACUAAAGUAAAUAUCCAAGUUGACCACAUGUUGUGUACAAGUGGAAUAUCCCCAUUAUUAAGCAUACACAAAGUGGGUGAGAGAGAGAGACCAUUUGUAGUGCUUAGGUUUCAUCAAGUAUGAAUAAUUCACAAAAGGAUGAGGUGUGCUACUUUUAUUUCAUUUGUUUAAAAUGUUCUUGAUUUUUUUUCUUGCAGUCAGAAGUUUUUCUAUCUGCCAGCCUAACAUGAUAAGAGGAUUUGGAUUAUGCCCGUUCAAGUCCUCACGGAGGCAAAUUUGGAUGCCUAUUUUGUUCUUAGUAACAUGCCACCUAGUUCCUUCUAGGUUAAUCCAGUUUUUUUUUUCAUAUAAUGAUCGAUAACCAUUGAUGUGUUUAGUAUCAUCAUGCUAAUAUAUAGUGCUUUCGAGAUCUGGUUGAAAGCUUCCUGAAGGAGACAUCUACGUCGCGGAACAUUUUGACACCUUAUAAUCUCCAUAUUUAAUUUAAACACUAAGUUCUAAUACUUGAAAUUCUGAAGGACACUUCACAGGUUUCAUUUAUAGAUGCAUCAUUUAUUUCUGUGGGCCCAUACAGAAGAUAGCAUUAGUUGAGUAUUGUAUAUUGUCAUGCAAUGAAGCAGGUAAUAAUACCCAUCUACUUGAUUUCCUGUAGAAGUAAGUAUUGCCACACUGACUAAAGUGAUCAAGUGGGUCCCACAGAAAAUACCAUGAUGUCAGAUCCUCAACUUGAGGUGCUGUUGAACAAAUAACAACCAUGCAACUGCUUAACCUGCAUCAAAAUAGGUGCAGUCACAUUAGAGUGGGGGUUGUUCCCCUCUCUCUAAAGUGCUUUGCAUUGAUUAUUAGGUAUGCAAUAUUAAAAUGAUUCUCUCUAUGUUUAGUCUUCAAUAAAAUUAUCUAUCAUAUUCUUCUCAAUUGCUGAAUGGUGCUGAAUCCAAAAGGUAGGAAAAUUAUGAAAUUGCAUUCAAAAUAAGCGAGCGUGGCAAUUAAGGAGAUUGAACCAAACCAGAAAGUCUGAUGAGACGAUAGUGUCUUAUUAAAUUUACCUAGCAUGCACUUGGCCAGAUAGUAUUUGGUGUAGAUGUUGGAUUCUGGUAUUUUACAUGGCACCACUUGCAACUAGUAGGGAAUAAUUUAGACAGAUUUAGUUCCACUACAAAAUUCUUGCACUUGCUAUAAGUCCACACAUGCAUCUUUCUUCAAAUAUUGACAUCAUCUGUAAUACUAAUCGUAUGUCUCUUGCCUCUGGUAUAUCUGUUACCAACCUGUAAUAGAAAAUAAAC